rnacentral:rRNA from 1 species
UAAUACGGAGGGGGCUAGCGUUGUUCGGAAUUAUUGGGCGUAAAGGGCGCGUAGGCGGCCGAAUAAGUCUGACGUGAAAUCCCCCGGCCCAACCGGGGAACUGCGUUUGAUACUGUUUGGCUCGAGUCCGGGAGAGGGUAGUGGAAUUCCCAGUGUAGCGGUGAAAUGCGUAGAUAUUGGGAGGAACACCGGUGGCGAAGGCGGCUACCUGGACCGGUACUGACGCUGAGGCGCGAAAGCUAGGGUAGCAAACAGGAUUAGAUACCCUGGUAGUCCUAGCUGUAAACGAUGGGUGCUUGGUGUAGCGGGUAUCGACCCCUGCUGUGCCGAAGCUAACGCAUUAAGCACCCCGCCUGGGGAGUACGGUCGCAAGGCUG